rnacentral:misc_RNA from 1 species
CUUCCUCCAGUAUGGCCACAC